AAAAAAUGUUUUUUUUUGGUUUU
rnacentral:sRNA from 1 species